rnacentral:lncRNA from 1 species
AAAAAAAAUGACUAUUUGAUCGUACAGAGCAGCUACAUCUAAACUUAACUUUUGCAAAACAAAGUCCUGAAAUCAAAACAAUAUUUAUUUCAUUCCACUGUAGUAUAAUACAAAAAAAUUGUUCAGUUUAGAGGUAAAUAUUACGUCCCUCAGUACAUUACAAAGUACAAACCCUCUCCUCCUAGCUGCAAGCCUUAUCUUAAGAUACACAAAAAAUCCAACUCCUCUAUGGUAGUAGCUUCACUAUAUACAGUACUUUAAGCUUGGUAGUAGCCUAAGGAUGAUUAAUCUUUCACCCUGGAAUAUCAUAAUUAAAUGAUGAGCUAUACAACUAAGCAAGUACUCAAACAUAGCAAAUAAUAUAGUAUGAAGAAAAAUAGAAUGAUUGGAACAAUAUGGAUACAUACUUAUUAAAAUUCAAAUAAUUAAUAAACAAUAUUUUAGAAUAUAUAUCCAAUAAGUACAUUAUUUAGAAACAUCGAGAUGUUUUUAAAACAAUUGGUAUCAUCAGGAUGCAUGCCUUUUCUUGCAAAAUUAUCGAAAACACUCACUUAGGAAAACAUUGAAAUGCACUUAGAAAUAUUCAAAAUACAACGGGGUACACUUAAAAGCACUUGAAUACCCUAAAACUCUAAAACACCCAUCAUAUCUUUUCAAUACCAACUGGUUAGCAACCAGCUG